rnacentral:rRNA from 1 species
UAGGGAAUCUUCCACAAUGGGCGAAAGCCUGAUGGAGCAACGCCGCGUGUGUGAUGAAGGGUUUCGGCUCGUAAAACACUGUUGUAAGAGAAGAAUGACAUUGAGAGUAACUGUUCAGUGUGUGACGGUAUCUUACCAGAAAGGAACGGCUAAAUACGCGCCAG